AUACGUAGGGGGCAAGCGUUAUCCGGAUUUACUGGGUGUAAAGGGAGCGUAGACGGUAAAGCAAGUCUGAAGUGAAAGCUCGGGGCUCGACCCCGGAACUGCUUUGGAAACUGUUUUACUGGAGUGCAGGAGAGGUAAGCGGAAUUCCUAGUGUAGCGGUGAAAUGCGUAGAUAUUAGGAGGAACACCAGAGGCGAAGGCGGCUUACUGGACUGUAACUGACGUUGAGGCUCGAAGGCGUGGGGAGCAAACAGGAUUAGAUACCCUGGUAGUCCACGCGGUAAACGAUGAUCACUAGGUGUCGGCGGCCAUAGGCGGUCGGUGCCGCAGCAAACGCAAUAAGUGAUCCACCUGGGGAGUACGUUCGCAAGAAUGAAACUCAAAUGAAUUGACGGGG
rnacentral:rRNA from 1 species